UACGUAGGGGGCAAGCGUUGUCCGGAAUCAUUGGGCGUAAAGAGCGCGUAGGCGGCCCAGUAAGUCCGCUCUGAAAGUCAGGGGCUCAACCCCUGGAUGCGGGUGGAUACUGCUGGGCUAGAGUCCGGAAGAGGCGAGUGGAAUUCCUGGUGUAGCGGUGAAAUGCGCAGAUAUCAGGAGGAACACCGAUGGCGAAGGCAGCCCCCUGGGCCAAUACUGACGCUCAUGCACGAAAGCGUGGGGAGCAAACAGG
rnacentral:rRNA from 1 species